rnacentral:tRNA from 1 species
GGAUAGUGGCUCAGCGGGAGCACUCGGCUAGCACACGUGAGGUCCUGGGUUUGAUCCUCAGCACCA